GAUUAUAUUUAUUUAAGGGAAGGAGUAUUUCUCAUAUCAGUUCAAAUAUUCUUUAAGAGAGAAUGAGAAUUUAUGUCUAAUUGCAAGGGAAAUAUUUGUGAAUUCUGCAUAAUUAGAACACUAAAUUAGAAAUAACUCUUCCUAAAGCCAAUAGUUUCCUGUGUUGGGGGGUGGGUGGGGAAGUUCUCUUCAUUAACAUCACUAUACAGAUAUGCACACUUGAAAAUCUGUGUUAACAAAAAAUACAUAUGCAUAAUUUCUAUUUAGCUCUGCAGUUCUGAUGAAAGAAAAAAAGUAGAACAUAAAAAUUCAAGAGAUGCUUUACUUGAUUGCUUGCAUACAUCAUUCACCUCCUUUACCAGCUUACAUUGUACAAGGCCAUAUAUAGGCAUUUUGUACUAAUGGAACCCCAUAAAUAGUUAUUAGGUACAUAAAAAUGUAAGUAACUGGAGGAGGGGACUUCCAGCUGGGGUCUGGACUUGUCUAAAUGUUGCUUGCUUUUAAAUACUCCAAUGUGUUUACAAUCAUAACAUUGUAAUAUAUAGUAAUCUGGUUCUAUAUAAGUAUAAAUUCUUUUCCAUGAAGUAUUAAUUUGGGUGGUCAGAUGAUCUUAGAUUCAGCUGUGAAAAGGACACCUUAGAAAUCAUUUAAUCUAAUCAUCUUAUUUUCUAGAUAAAGAAGCUGAGGACCUGAAAGGUUAAGUAAUUAUCCAAAGUCACAUAUGCAGAAAUAGCAGAGCCAGUACUGAACACAAGUGCAUUGACUCCAAAGAGACUGUGUUUAUUGAAGUGAAUAUGGGGAAGUACUCAGGGCUGAAAAUAAUUGCCAAUAACUCUUUCAAGAAAGUAGAAACAUCUUGAGGUCUUUCCAAAUGAGGCGCAAGACAAGAUUUCCGGUCCUCUACACAGAAGAAGCCCACUUGGAAUCUGAGAAAAUAUCCAGAGACUUCCUUCAAAAACUCAUGCUUCUACUAAAGACUUUUUUUUUUUUAACAGAUGUAAAUUUGAGGGGGGGAUGUCUUAUACCAUAAGCCAUUUGGGAUUAUUUAGCCUCUAAAGGAUGAACAUACUUGCCAUCUGAAUGGCAGGAAAGCUGGGAGCUUAAACUCAAAACCAAGCUUUUCUGUAACUUUAACCCUGAAUCAUCUUUUCUGUAAAUUAUUUUCUUCCAUUAAGUUUGCAAGAGUUUUAUGAUAAAUAUUCACUCAUAUGAAGCAAAUGACCUCAUCGCUAGCUAGCUAUAAUAUAUAUUCAAAUACUCUUGGCAGAUACCCAAAAAUUGAUUGACACCCAUCUUAACAGUGCUGGAUUUAAUUAAUAUGUCUACCAAUUCCCAAAUGCAUCUCAGGAAACUAAAAAUCUAUUUAAUGCUGAAAGCAAUGACAUACUGUGUGUGGUCAGGAGAGAAUCUCUACUGCCAAGAAUAGAUUUUAAAAUUUAAAAAAGUAUAAAAAUGUCUGUUAAAAAAAAAAGGAAAACAAAAUAAGUGUACCCAUACCAUGUCCUAGAUCAUUAAGAUGAGGUAUGUUUUAAAAAUUAAAAGACAUUUUUAUAGGAGGAAAUCAUGUCCAGACUGUUAAGUCAUUACUCAAAGGGUCUGUUAAUUUUCCCUACAAGAUGCAAAGCUACUCUUGAAUGAUGAACAGUACCCUUAUUCACUUGAACAAUAAUGUCUUUAUUUUUGUGGCCAUUUGCCAUCCUGAAUGUCAAAUCCACAAGGUGAUUCUUUAAUAAUUGAGCUUUAGAGAUGCUCACAACACAAUAUAAAAUAGGUACAGAUGAUCAAGAGAGAUUACUUCCACUAGAACAAAGAAUGUUGAGGGAGAUCAGACUUCUGUUUUACAUAUUCAAAAUAUUCCUAAAAAUCAUAACAAUAAUAAUAAAAAGGAAAAUGAGUUCUGCUUUCUAAUGGAAUAAUAAAAAUAGCCACAAAGCACUCUGUGUAAAAAUGCUAUAUAUCUCAUAACUAAAGAAUCUUGAAGGAAAUCUUCAACAAGAAGAAGGGAAAAAAAGAGAAACAUUCUUCAAGUAUUUAGGUAAAGGGGAAAAUAGCAUAAAACACAUAACAUUAUACACUAGAAAACUUGCAAUGCUGAAAAAUAUCUUGUAAAAUCAAGGCAACAUAUAGUACCAUGGAAAGGGUAAUAUUUGGAAUCAAAAUAUUUGUGUUUAAAUGCUUAUUCUGCCAUUAUGAAAUUAUGCAUGGCAUAAUUUGGGCCUUCAUUUUAUCUUGAAGAAGUUGGAAUCUUUGUUGUGUUUUUCAGCUUUAAGUUAAUGAUUCUACUCCAAAUUCAUAAGAAAUGCUAUG